ACAUGCAAGUCGAACGCGAAAGGGACUUCGGUCCUGAGUAAAGUGGCGCACGGGUGAGUAACGCGUAGAUAACCUGUCUUCAUGUCUGGAAUAAUACGCCGAAAGGGGUACUAAUACCGGAUAUUCUUGCUUUUCAUAAGUUAUGCAAGCAAAGGUGGCCUCUGCAUAUGCUACUGCAUGAAGAGGGGUCUGCGUACCAUUAGCUAGUAGGUGGGGUAAUGGCCUACCUAGGCGACGAUGGUUAGCGGGUCUGAGAGGAUGAUCCGCCACACUGGCACUGGAACACGGGCCAGACUCCUACGGGAGGCAGCAGUGAGGAAUAUUGCGCAAUGGGGGAAACCCUGACGCAGCGACGCCGCGUGAGUGAGGAAAGGCCUUCGGGUCGUAAAGCUCUGUCAAGAGGAAAGAAGUGUACAAUGGCUAAUACCUGUUGUAUUUGACGGUACCUCUAAAGGAAGCACCGGCUAACUCCGUGCCAGCAGCUGC
rnacentral:rRNA from 1 species